rnacentral:rRNA from 1 species
GUAGGUGGCGAGCGUUGUCCGGAUUACUGGGCGUAAAGACGCGCGCAGGGCGGGCUGGUCAGUCCGGGGGGUGGAAAUACUCACGGCUCAACUGUGAGGAGUCCCCGGACUACUGCCCAGUCUUGAGGUGCCUAGAGGAGAGUGGAAUUACCCGGUCGUAGUGGUGGAAUGCGUAGAUAUCGGGAGGGAACACCAGUGGCGAAAGACGGCUCUCUGGGGGCGGACCUGACGCUGAGGGCGCGAAAGCGUGGGGAGCGAACCGGAUUAGAUACCCGGGUAGUCCACGCCGUAAACGAUGAGCACUAGCUGUCGGGGGUAUCGACCCCCUCGGUAGCGCAGCUAACGCGUUAAGUGCUCCGCCUGGGGACUACGGCCGCAAGGCUA